CCAAUAGCGUAUAUUAAAGUUGUUGCAGUUAAAAAGCUCGUAGUUGAAUUUCAGGCCUGGCUGGACGGUCCGCCCUUCGGGUGAGUACUGUCUGUGGUCGGGUCCUACCUUCUGGCGAAGCGUCAUGGCCUUAACCGGCCGUGGCGGGGAACCAGGACUUUUACUGUGAAAAAAUUAGAGUGUUCACAGCAGGCAAUCGCUUGAAUACAUUAGCAUGGAAUAAUGAAAUAGGACGUUUGAUUCUAUUUUGUUGGUUUCUAGGAUCGACGUAAUGAUUAAUAGGGAUAGUUGGGGGCAUUAGUAUUCAAUUGUCAGAGGUGAAAUUCUUGGAUUUAUUGAAGACUAACUACUGCGAAAGCAUUUGCCAAGGAUGUUUUCAUUAAUCAAGAACGAAAGUUAGGGGAUCGAAGACGAUCAGAUACCGUCGUAGUCUUAACCAUAAACUAUGCCGACUAGGGAUCGGAUGAUGUUAAUUUUUUAAUGACUCAUUCGGCGCCUUACG
rnacentral:rRNA from 1 species